rnacentral:rRNA from 1 species
GAUGAACGCUGGCGGCGUGCCUAAUACAUGCAAGUCGAGCGAAUGGAUUGAGAGCUUGCUCUUAUGAAGUUAGCGGCGGACGGGUGAGUAACACGUGGGUAACCUGCCCAUAAGACUGGGAUAGCUCCGGGAAACCGGGGCUAAUACCGGAUAACAUUUUGAACCGCAUGGUUCGAAAUUGAAAGGCGGCUUCGGCUGUCACUUAUGGAUGGACCCGCGUCGCAUUAGCUAGUUGGUGAGGUAACGGCUCACCAAGGCAACGAUGCGUAGCCGACCUGAGAGGGUGAUCGGCCACACUGGGACUGAAACACGGCCCAGAGUCCUACGGGAGGCAGCAGUAGGGAAUCUUCCGCAAUGGACGAAAGUCUGACGGAGCAACGCCGCGUGAGUGAUGAAGGCUUUCGGGUCGUAAAACUCUGUUGUUAGGGAAGAACAAGUGCUAGUUGAAUAAGCUGGCACCUUGACGGUACCUAACCAGAAAGCCACGGCUAACUACGUGCCAGCCGCCGCCGUAA